UCCAAUUGUAGAUCACAUGGAAAUAAGAAGACAGUGAACAUUAUGAUCACUUUUAGUAACACCAGAAUAGCCUUUUUAUUUCCCAAAAGGUAAAGAACAGGAUGAAAAAAAAGAAAAACUGCAAAGAACAAGGAUAGAAGGAGGUGCUGGGGUGAGGGGGUGCCCCAGGGGCAAGACCUUGAAACAGUUUCUUUUUUUCACAGCUUGAAGUCACUAAUGCCAGCCUCAGAUGUACAACUGAAUCAAAGUCUCAGUCAUCGCUACAAGUCCAAAGUGCAGGUCAGUGUAAAAUGUAGCUGACUGAAAGAAGACUGGUAAAUUCUGAAUUUUUCCAUAAUACAGCAGGUAAAAGGCCACAGCAGAAAGUCGGUGUGGCACUUCAGGACAAAUGCAUCUUACAGUUAAAGCACCAAGAAGGUAGCCAGACACAGUGGUGCAUGCCUGUGACCCCAGCUAUUU